ensembl:lncRNA
GGCAGAUACGUUACAUGGAAUGGGAACCUGGACUACCUCUUGCACAAAGCUGCUGAGGAAAAGCAUACGACUUAGAGAUGCUUCCAAGUUUUCAUAUGGACUGAACAGGAUUCGGUGCAGAACCCACAGAUGUGGAUUUACCAGAGGGCUCACAGAAGGUGAUUCCAGCAGAUGCCAGCUAUGAGCCUCCUGCUAUUGUAAGGCCGUACAGCCAAGGAGUGCUGAGUCAGCUGCACGACAGAGGAGUCCAGAGAAGCAAAGUGGGAUCAGAUGUGAAAAGUUUGGGUGUAACCCAUUGUGUUGCCCUUCGCUGACAGCCUCAAGACCCUGUGCCUACCUUCAGGCUGUACAGAGACCCAGAUAUGCUUCCAACAAGUCUUCAAAAAGUUGUUGUUCAUUACAAAAGAAAGUGCUCCAUGUCAUAUCCGAACCACUGAGGUCACUUGGGAAGUCUUCCGUCUUUCCACUCAUCUGUCACAGCAUUUUUUGUUUGAGAUGCUCUGAUGAAAGGCUGCAUUCUCCAUUUUCAUUUAAAAAGCCAUUUGCCACCCUCCGAAUCACAAGCAAGAGGUG